rnacentral:lncRNA from 1 species
UUUUACCAAAUCAGAAGUAAAUCUUAAUAUUAUCUGUAACUAGAUUUUCACCCGUGCGAUGCACGGCUAAUAUAAUAAUAUAGAAUAUUAAAAAUUAUUAUGUGAUGAUAACAAAAAGAUUUUCUAAUUAAUUUUAUAUUUUUUAACAAAUAAAAAAAUAUACUAUCAAUCUUAAUUAUAAUACAUAAUACAUAUUAAAGUACACAAGAGAAAAAAAAAAUUUGGACCAAAGUAAAUAUUCAACUAAGAUGCAAAAUUCAAUCCUCCUGUAUUAUCUAUGAAUUGGUAUUCAAAAUAAUUUACAUUUACAUAUUGAUGUGCGAAAUAAAAUGAUAACUAAAAUUGAUAUGAAAAAUUAUAAAUGACAUUAAUAUUUAAGCAUAUAAUGAGAUCAACUAAACUUUCAUAUUUGACACAAAUUAGAGUAAGCACACAUAUAUUAUGUUUCUACUGUCGCUUUUAAGAUUNGCGUACUUCGCAAUCAAUAAUUUUAAAUAAUUAAUUAAACCAAUAAUUUCAAAUAAUUCGUAACUAAAUAUUCAUAUUUGAGUUUGACACGUGGCAAGUAUAUAGAAAGCCACGUGUCAGCUUCUCACAUAGGGUUCAUUAAGGGUUCUACUUUUAAGCGAAGAAAAUUACAGGAGUUAUGUGAGUUUUAAAUUUUUUCCUCUUUCCAAAAAUGCCUCUAUCCUUUUUUACUAAUAUUUUUAUGUCCAAAAAUUUUCAACCGAUCAUUUUAAAUAAUUAACUAAGUAAUAAUUUAUUUCCAAAUAAAGAUAAAUAUUUUGCUUCUCAUUCUCAACAGAUUAUUGCGUACUUCGCAAUCAAUAAUUUUAAAUAAUUAAUUAAACCAAUAAUUUCAAAUAAUUCGUAACUAAAUAUUCAUAUUUGAGUUUGACACGUGGCAAGUAUAUAGAAAGCCACGUGUCAGCUUCUCACAUAGGGUUCAUUAAGGGUUCUACUUUUAAGCGAAGAAAAUUACAGGAGUUAUGUGAGUUUUAAAUUUUUUCCUCUUUCCAAAAAUGCCUCUAUCCUUUUUUACUAAUAUUUUUAUGUCCAAAAAUUUUCAACCGAUCAUUUUAAAUAAUUAACUAAGUAAUAAUUUAUUUCCAAAUAAAGAUAAAUAUUUUGCUUCUCAUUCUCAACAGAUUAUUGCGUACUUCGCAAUCAAUAAUUUUAAAUAAUUAAUUAAACCAAUAAUUUCAAAUAAUUCGUAACUAAAUAUUCAUAUUUGAGUUUGACACGUGAUAAUUUUAAAUAAUUAAUUAAACCAAUAAUUUCAAAUAAUUCGUAACUAAAUAUUCAUAUUUGAGUUUGACACGUGGCAAGUAUAUAGAAAGCCACGUGUCAGCUUCUCACAUAGGGUUCAUUAAGGGUUCUACUUUUAUAUAUAGUAAUAGAUAGAUAUUCCAAACCAUAUUAUAUGGAAUAUAUGUAUUACAUCUAUUUAGUAUAAGCCAUCUCUUUAAAAUGCUGUUAUAAUUAAAGGAUUAUAUUAUAUAUAGGGAAAACUUCAAAAAACCCCUCUAUGGUUUCACACUUUUUCAUUUUAGUACUCUGUGGUUUAACGUGUAUUAAGUUAGUACCCUGUGGUUUCUCACUUUAUCACUUUAGUACCAUGUGGUUUAAAGUGUAUCAAGUUAGUACCCUGUGAUUUUGCAGUUUAUCACUUUAGUACCAUGUGGUUUCACAUUUUAUCACUUUAGUACCCUAUAGUUUAAAAAACCACAGGGUAUUAAUUUGAUACAAAAUCAAAACCACAUGGUACUAAAGUGAUAAAAUGCAAAACCACAUGGUACUAACUUGAUACACUUUAAACCACAGAGUACUAAAGUGAUAAAGUGAGAAACCACAAGAUACUAACUUGAUACAUUUUAAACCACAUGGUACUAAAGUAAAAAAAAUUGAAACCACAAGGGGGUUAAAAUUGAAACAACAGGGUACAUUUUAAACCACAGGUUACAUAUAUUUAGUAUAAGCCAUCUCUUUAAAAUGCUGUUAUAAUUAAAGGAUUAUAUUAUAGAUAUUUAUAAGAAUAUCUAUAAGUCAUCUGUUUAAAAUGCUGUUAUAAUUAAAGAAUUAUAUAUACGAGUGAAGGCCCGCGCUUCGCGGCAGAAAAUUUACAAAAAAAAAUCAAAAUAAAUAAUUAAAUAUUUAAAUUUUAAAAUGUUUUAUUAUUCAAAAAUUAAAUUUAAAUUUAGAAUAUAAAAUGUUGAAGCUUAAAAUUUAAAUUUUAAUAUAUCAAAUUGAAAUUUCAAUAUUUAGAAUUUAAUAUUUAGAUUUUAAAAUUCAAUUUAUAAUUUAAUAUAUAUUUAAAAUAUUGAAAUUUUAAAUUUUAAAUUUAGAACUUAAAAUUUAAAAUAUUUAUAUUUUAUCUUAAUUACUAAUUAAUAUAUAUAUAUAGAACUAGGCUACUAUACUAUCGGUAGCACGGAGCGCCCCGUGCUACCAAGUUGUUUUCGAUGAUGCGGCUUCCAAAUCGACGAUCGGCUNNNUAUAUAUAUAUAUAUAUAUUAUUUAUAAAUAUAUAUAUUUAGUAUAUAUAUUUUUAUAAUUCUAUCUCUCUCUCUCUCUAUAUAUAUAUAUAUAAAUUUGAAUAGAAAACUUUAAUUGUUGUAUUUAAAUUUAAAGUUUAAAUUUAAUUUUUUAUUUUUUUGUAUGUGAAUCACAAUACUAAAGAAAAAUUUGGGAAAGGAAAAAAAGAAGAGAGAGAGAGAGAAUAUAUAUUCUAUCUCUCUCUCUCUAUAUAUGUAUAUUAUUCUAUUUAUAUAUAUAUAUAUAUAUAUAAAUUUAAAUAGAAAAUUUUAAUUGGGGGAUNUAUAAAUGACAUUAAUAUUUAAGCAUAUAAUGAGAUCAACUAAACUUUCAUAUUUGACCCAAAUUAGAGUAAGCACACAUAUAUUAUGUUCCUACUGUCGCUUUAAGAUUCAAAAAUAUAUAGAUGUUGGUUUUCAAGAAAAUAUAAAGAAAAAAAAUUUUGUUGUAUGAAAAUGAAAAAUUACAUGAGUGACAGAAGGAAAAAAAUUACGAAAUGAAAAUUAUAGAAGUGACAGUAGGAAAAUAAUAUGUUCUAUUUUAAAGCAUCAAUAUUUAAGAGCGAAGAAAAUUACAGGAGUUAUGUGAGUUUUAAAUUUUUUUCUCUUUCCAAAAAUGCCUCUAUCCUUUUUUACUAAUAUUUUUAUGUCCAAAAAUUUUCAACCGAUCAUUUUAAAUAAUUAACUAAGUAAUAAUUUAUUUCCAAAUAAAGAUAAAUAUUUUGCUUCUCAUUCUCAACAGAUUAUUGCGUACUUCGCAAUCAAUAAUUUUAAAUAAUUAAUUAAACCAAUAAUUUUAAAUAAUUCGUAACUAAAUAUUCAUAUUUGAGUUUGACACGUGGCAAGUAUAUAGAAAGCCACGUGUCAGCUUCUCACAUAGGGUUCAUUAAGGGUUCUACUUUUAUAUAUAGUAAUAGAUAGAUAUUCCAAACCAUAUU